GAGGAAAAUGGCUUUGCAUUUGUAAUUUGUGAUUUGUGUGUCCCCUCUUCCUGCUCUGCAUUCUACCCUCAGCCCCUGGCCCACAGCCUGGUACCCUGGAGCUCCAUAAAUACCUGUUGAGUGAAUGAGAGGAUGAAGGCUUCUGCAGAGAGAGAGUGGAAGAAAAGUGGCGUCUUUUGACUUCGGACUUGGCUUUCCUUGCAGAGGCCUCAGGGAGGAACAACACGGAAACAAAGAUGGCCUUGUCCUGGGCCCUUCCCUCCCUGCCCCACUGUCCUCCUCUGCAUCCUACAGCAGCCUGGGGGGAGGUGGAAAUGGGCCCCUUUGUUCUGCUUCCAGAAUUCCACUCCCACUGGGUGGAGGCCUGGCUGCAGCCCCCUCCUUCCUCUGCCAGUUCUUCCUAAUCCUGAGCGACUCGCCAAAGCCUUGGAUCUUCACACCGUGGGUCUCGCUGUGAGGACGGGCCUAAGCUCACAGGUAGCCUCAGAGACAGAUACGGGUGCAGAGGGAAGAGGGGGUCCCCACCUGUUACCUCCCAGUCCUCUUCAUCAGUGUCCCCAGGACCUAUCACACAGGACAAAUGAAACUGGGAGACGCCGUCUAGAGUGGGAACCCAGGUGAACACUAAUCCAGUGUGGGCUGCAGACCUGUUUUUCCCUGGUCCCUGACAUGAGUAAAUUCAGAAAAUGAGGAUCCCCAUGGCUCUCAGUCCUGGCAAGGUAGGUAGAAUCACCUUGGGAGGUUCUGAAACUCUGGAUGGCCCAGGCCUCACUUUUAGAAAUUCUGCUCUCAUUGCCUAUCGUGGGACCCAGGAAUCUGCCCGUUGUCAGUGCUCCUAGGGGAUUCUAAUGCACCACCAAGAUUGAGCACCACUGCAAAAGGAAAUGGAUAAUGGUGAUUGAAAUUAAAGCCCUGUUCUACUGGGAAAGUUGAUCAAAUUUUUAUUAAAGAAUGAGGGUCUUGCUUCUUUUCAGAAAGCUUCUUAUGUCCAUUAUCUCAUAACAAUACUCCCUGCAGCCACAUGACAACGAAGGUGAAUGAGGAAACUGAGGCUCAGAAAUGGUGAGAGACUCAUCCUGGGUCACCCUCUGCAGAGACUCUAGAGCCUGGCUCUUUCAAGUCCAUCACCAAGUCCCCAGGAAGACUUCACUGGUGCAGGCUCAGGAGCACUGAAGAUGGAAAUUCAAAGCAUGUUCUGCUUUCAGGCUACAAAUAGGCCCUGAAGACUCACUCAGGUGGAAUGCAGCAGCAGAUACACCAUUGACCAGAGAAUCCUCCUCCUCCUGUACUGGAAAACUGUACCCUGUGACUGGGUACAGGGUUGCUGCCUGCAGAGGGGGAGAGAGGGAAGGGCCCUCCCCCAACCCUCUACAGCUGAGCACUGACUCAACCCCAAGCAUCGCCCGGCUCCACUUGAGUUUGGGUUUGGAAAUUCUUAGGAAAGGAAAUGAGUGGGGUUUGGGGGGGCUCUGCUUUAAGAAAUGCCCAUGUCAACCACGUCAAUGCCCAAGACCCCCUCAGUCUUCGGUUUUCUUUAAUAGGCUACAUCCCCAGAGUAAAAACCAGAUCCAUGUUCAAGAAAUAGGUUGGAGACUCCUUGAUCCCUGGCUCAAGCCAACUUCUGAGAACAGAGACACCCUGGAGUAGCGGAGGUGGGGUGGGGUGCACGGCCCCCUCCUGUAUUACAAAUCAAUUCACAAAGUAGCGAACCCAUCUUUGGACAGAAACCUCAACUGCAAUCAGACUUCUGUUUAUGACAGUAACUCGAGAAGCCUUUUCUCAAGGAGAUGCCAACGCAUGAAGUGGUUGUAUUUAUAGAAGUUAAACAAACCUCUUCUGAGAGGUCAUAAUACCUUACAGGAAAUGGGGAGCCUCUGUUGUGUGAAAACUCUGGAUAAAACUGGUCAUAAAAUAGUAACAAUCAUGAAUAUUCUUGCCUGCCUGCUUAAAAGAAAGAAAAUUACCAACUGAGGUUAAACCAUGAGUGUCUAUAAAGUUGAUUUAUACCGUGAAUCUAGAAAAGUUGGUCACAUUGUGAAAUAUUUUUGAUAGGACAUGUAUCUAAAUGUGAAUAAAUUCAGCCCUUUUGAAAAGGAAAGUGGACUGCACUCUGAUAUUGGUAAAAUUUCCAAAAAUAAAGGUGUUUGCCCAUUGGCAAUAUGAUUAUAGGGCUCUAGGCACGUAUUUUAGACUGGGCAAUGUCUUCUUUCUCACAAGACUGUUUUGCUUUAACUCCCUCCUUCGGCCUUCUUUCUAGAAAGUUUUGAAGGAUAAAGCCCUUGAUGAGAAGCUUGUCUGUUUUCUUCCAACCUGGAUUUGGCCAGAGGCUGUCUCAGGACUCAGAGAGACAAAUCCGAGGAUGCACCUAGAUCUUAAAGAGUGGAAAUAUCUGCAGUGAUGAGCAUUAUUAUGGUGAAGCAGAGAAGAGAAAGGAAAGCGAGGAGACAGGAAGGUCGGGAGUGCUCAGAGCACACUGCUGGAUGGCUCGGCUCCUAAACCCACAUGAGUCACUUUCCCUUUCUGCCACUGCAGAAACUAAAUCUGUCUGCUGCCUCCUCCUAGGUCAACAGAGUGCUCAUCCGCAACCUCAGUGUCAAAGAAUUCUUCUUAUUGGAGAGGGUAUUUCUCAUCCCCACCAUGAAAUAUCAGUCAUUUUUUACUGUCCUCCAAUGUACCCUCUACAGACAGCCUGAGACGGCGCUAAGAUUUUUGCAAAUGUGUCCUCAGGUACAGAAAGAACAUGUGUUUUGCUGCCAUAUCUCUUCAGCCUCUGUCAUUCUUGGCUCAUUUCCUGAAAGAUUAAGGAAGCCAUCCCAGCCCCUGAGGCUUUGAAAUUCCAGUAGAGGCCACUCCCUGAACACCAGAGAGGCCAAGCUGUCCCACAGGCCUAGCCCAGGCCACCUGUCACCCAGCUGACAUCCCCUCCAGCUUUGCAGUCAUCUCUGCCCCUGCCUGGGCAAGUGAGCUGGGGAGGGUAUAGACGUAGGGUUCAGGUAUAACUGAGGGACGAGUCAGCAGCUAAGCCACUGAAAAGAACACUAACAGUGUCUGGGUGGCAGCCCCACUGGUGACCUAUCUCAAAGUCACAUACCAUCACCCUGGACAUUAGAAAAUACUUCUCUAAAAACCUCAAGCUCAGCACCAAGUUAGUUUGAUAAGUCUCUACAUGUACUACAGGGAUUAAAAAAUAGAAAUUUCUGGCCCUCUGAAUAUGAAGCUAAAGACACUAGUAUUUCUGUGGAAUUAAGAGAUUCUCUUUCAAAAAGUUCAACAGAUGUUUGCUUAUCCUUUAAACUCAGCUUAAGUUCACUUCAUCCAGGAAGCCAUCUCUGACUGCCUUGCCACUCUGGGUUAGGUGUACCUUCUCUGUGCACCCAAAGUCCCUCUUUUGAAUAUUACCGUGAUCCUUCCAACACACAUUUUAAUGACCUAGACUGUGAGCUCCUUAAUGGUAGAGGAGGAAGCAGGUCUAGCUCAUUUUGAAUUCCAAUAACCCAGCACAGAGGAUUCCACGUUUGUUGAAUGAAUAAACGAAUGAAGUCAUUCUUU
rnacentral:lncRNA from 1 species